UAAAGAAACACAUGCCCACAAUAGUUAUGUAAACUGGUUUCUAAUUAGGACCAUUCCCUCACAAAUCACAAUGGAUAAGUACAUAUCUUCAAAAGGUCACUUUUGUAAUUUUUCAGUGUCAUACUGCUGAAUACUGUGGGAGAUGCUGAGUGCCAGCAUUAAAGCUGGAAGUGUUUGAGGGCUGUGGACAGAACUCCCACGGAGAGGCAGAGGAAGUGCAGCCUGACAGAUGGAAUCAGCGCCUUUCCAGGAAUGCCCCUGCAUGGGACAUCAACCUCUUGUUCCACAAAAUGCUUCACUCCAGUCACUAUCCCCAAAGUCCUUCAGAAGAAAACUAGCAGCUGAAGAGACUGGCAAUUCUCAUUCUACCACAUCACACUAACAGCAUGUCCUUUCCUG
rnacentral:lncRNA from 1 species